rnacentral:rRNA from 1 species
AGCGAACGCUGGCGGCGUGCUUAACACAUGCAAGUCGAGUGCGUAGCCCUUUGUAGCAAUACAGAGGGUGGGCGCACGGCGCACGGGUGAGUAACACGUGGGUAACCUGCCCUUCGGUGGGAAUAACCCCGCGAAAGCGGGGCUAAUUCCGCAUAACAUUCCGGGGACACAUGUUCUCGGACUCAAAGGAGUGAUUCGCCGGAGGAGGGGCCCGCGCCCGAUUAGCUUGUUGGUAGGGUAACGGCCUACCAAGGCUUUGAUCGGUAGCCGGUCUGAGAGGAUGGCCGGCCACACUGGAACUGAGACACGGUCCAGACUCUACGGGAGGCAGCAGUGGGGAAUCUUGCGCAAUGGGCGAAAGCCUGACGCAGCGACGCCGCGUGGGGAGUGAAGCUUCUCGGA